rnacentral:rRNA from 1 species
UGACGGUAUUUCGAACCCACCUAGAGGAGCCUGUCCUAUAAUCGACAAUACACGAUCCACCCAACCACCUUUUGCCCUAAGCAGCCUGUAUACCGCCGUCGCAAGCUUAGCCCAUGAGGGACAAGCACUCAGCACAAUAACUCGCUCCUGAGCUAGAACGUCAGGUCAAGGUGCAGCCGAUAAGGUGGCAGAGAUUGGCUACAUUUUCUACACUAUAGAAAUGGGUCACGGAGAGGCCUGUGAAACCAGGACUGUCAAAGACGGAUUUAGCAGUAAAUUAGGAGAAGAGUGCCUAAUUGAAGAUGGCCCCGAAAUAUGUACACACCGCCCGUCACCCUCCUCGAAUUAAACCAGAUUUUGCUACAUAACGCACAUAGAACCCGAUGAGAUGAGGAAAGUCGUAACAAGGUAAGCGUACCGGAAGGUGUGCUUGGAACAUCAAAAUGUAGCUUAAACCAAAGCAUUCUGCUUACACCUGAAACAUGUUUACUUAAAUAAACCAUUUUGAUUAACCCGCUCUAGCCCUAAAAAUUAACCAA